GUCCCUCUUCUCUCUUUAAAACACCUAGCUAGUGAGAGAAAGUAUCAAAAUAAGACUUUUUAGGGUUUUAAGGUGAAAGAGUAAAAGAGCAUAAAGGACUUUGUGAAAAAGUGCACAAAAGCAUGAAAAUUGAGGUUAACUUGAGAAAAUUUAUGGAGGUUUCAAAGCAAGCUUCCAUGAAAGAUGACAAAACGUGAGAAGGGGAGAAGAGAUGGAAGGAAGGAGAAAA
rnacentral:lncRNA from 1 species